UACAGAGGUCUCAAGCGUUGUUCGGAUUCAUUGGGCGUAAAGGGUGCGUAGGCGGCGCGGUAAGUCGGGUGUGAAAUCUUGGAGCUUAACUCCGAAACUGCAUUCGAUACUGCCGUGCUUGAGGACUGGAGAGGAGACUGGAAUUUACGGUGUAGCGGUGAAAUGCGUAGAUAUCGUAAGGAAGACCAGUGGCGAAAGCGGCGCACUGGACCACAACUGACGCUGAGGCGCGAAAGCUAGGGGAGCAAACAGG
rnacentral:rRNA from 1 species